GACGAACGCUGGCGGCGUGCUUAACACAUGCAAGUCGAACGGUAAGGCCCUUCGGGGUACACGAGUGGCGAACGGGUGAGUAACACGUGAGUAACCUGCCCUUGACUCUGGGAUAACAGUUGGAAACAGCUGCUAAUACUGGAUAUUCAGCCUUCUGCGCAUGUGGGGGGUUGGAAAGAUUUUUUGGUUGAGGAUGGGCUCGCGGCCUAUCAGCUUGUUGGUGGGGUGAUGGCCUACCAAGGCUUCGACGGGUAGCCGGCCUGAGAGGGCGACCGGCCACACUGGGACUGAGAUACGGCCCAGACUCCUACGGGAGGCAGCAGUGGGGAAUAUUGCGCAAUGGGCGGAAGCCUGACGCAGCAACGCCGCGUGCGGGAUGACGGCCUUCGGGUUGUAAACCGCUUUCAGCAGGGACGAAGCUUUUGUGACGGUACCUGCAGAAGAAGCACCGGCCAACUACGUG
rnacentral:rRNA from 1 species